rnacentral:lncRNA from 1 species
GGAGCACGGUGGCCAUUGGACUGCGCGCAUCAAUAUCACUUCAACAGAUGGACGAAACACGCCGCUGGUGCUGAUAUGGUACGGCGCGCUGGACGAGUCGCUGGGUGCGGGGGUGCACUCCCGGCUGUGGGUAGAGCGCGACACGCUGCUGGGCCACACGCCCGCGUUGGGCAACUUCAAAGUGCACCUGGUGCCUCACACUGGUAAAAUAAUCCACAAGUCUCAUUCGGAGGCCUAUGCCAGUGGGCUGCAAGUUCUCAAGGAGAAGUUCUACU